ACACCUGGGAAAUCUGGCCAGAAGCUGGGAAUAACACUUGGAAAGAGGUGCUAAUACCUUAUAACAACAAAAUCCGCAUGGAUUUUGAUUGAAACGUGCCUUCGGCUAUCACUUCUGAAUGAUCCCGCGCCGUAUUAGUUAGUUGGUGAGGUAAAGGGCCAACAAGACGAUGAUACGUAGCCGACUUGAGAGGGUAAUCGGGCACAUUGGGACUGAGACACGGCCCAAAGUCCUAAGGGAGGCAGCAGUAGGGAAACUUCCACAAUGGACGUAAGUCUGAUGGAGCAAUGGCGCGUGAGUGAAGAAGGGUUUCGGCUCGUUUAACUCUGUUGUUAAGGAAGAACACCUUUGAGAGUAACUGUUCAAAGGUUGACGGUAUUUAACCAGAAUGCCACGGCUAACUACGG
rnacentral:rRNA from 1 species